ACGGGAGGGGAGGAGAAUCUCUUCGGCGGUCCUCUUCCCCCGUAGGGUCUCCCGACGACGGACUAUCACUGAGUUCUGCUGGUCCCACAGCCAAACUCCUCCGGCGCAGCUCUGGAGGUCUCCCGCAGCCCCGCUCCUCUGCAGCGGUCGCCCCCUCCGACUGGCCUUUUCAACCAGCGCUUGUGCAAAAAAAAAAAGGGCUGCUCUCAGCGUCGCUUUGCUAACCGUUUCCUCCCCCUCGCCUUGCCGCCACAGGAGACUAAGGAGCGUGAGGCGCUGCUGUCUUGUAUUUAUAACUUUACCGGGGUGUGUGUCGCGUCGGAUUACCCGGAUAUCUGGAAGCACACUGCUAACCUCCUGGAGGCCAGCUGCGGCGGCGACAUCCGUCCCAAGGUGGAUAAUCUCUGGAAUGGUACUGUGACUCAUAAGGGAUCUAACAAGUGCAACAACCAGCGAAAGAAAAUAAUAGCAAAUCAAAAAUGUGGGAAUCACACACUCCAGGAACUACAAAUUAUGUGGAAAUAUUAUUAUCAGAUGUGACCAUGAAUUUGAGAAGAAUCUCUACAACCCUGUAUAAAUGCUUCAGCAUCCACCUUGUGUGUACAAAAUGCCAUCAAGUCAUAGUUGACUUUCCGUGAUUGCAGCAAAUGGCUUUCAAGCAGAGGUGGAUUGUCAUUGCCUUCCUCGGCCCAUUCUUCCUUGCAGAUCUCCCUUCCAAGUACUGACCCUGCUUAGCUUCUGAGAUCUGAUGAGAUUGGGCUAGCCGCUAUACCAUUCUGCCUUCCCACCUGCGUUCGUCUUACACAGUUCCUGUAUUGUAAUAGAAUAAAUAUAUUUUGUAUGAAGUUAAUAUAUAUAUAUUUACAAAUAAAUGUUUUUAUUAACUGCUUUUUAAA